GAAGAGACACCCAACUCCACUGAGCCCUCCAUCUUGUUGUCAGCUGUCUUCACCACUUUGGGUGUAGCUGUGCUGGUAGUUAUUGGAGUACUUUACCACCACAAACACAGAGCAUGUACUUCCUCUGGGACAUCAGCACCAGAAUAUCAGAGAGGAAAUGUAGCUGAUCCAGACAGUGUUACAUAUGCUGCUGUCACGGUCAAACCAAAGAGGGAGAGAGUUUGUAAACAGACAAAUGAAUCAGAUCCAGACAAAACAACAUAUGCUACUGUUGCAAAUCAGAGGAAAGACAGAGGUCAUUGACAGCAAAAAAAAAGACAUCUGAAUACAGAAAAAUGAGACAUGAGUCUGAAGCUUUUUGACAUAUUUUAUUGUGUUUUGGAUUCAUUACAAUGUCCUGCUUAAAGUAUUUCUUUUGGCUGUGUUGCAGUGCUACUGAUUGUAAAUCUAAGUCGUAUUAUUACUUCAGACUUGCCAGAUAAAAUGUAUUGUUGUUAAUUAAAAAAGUAGAAAUAAAUCAUUAAAUAUAGGUUUUAAUAAAUUUUCUCAAAUACAGAAAAGUAGAUUUGCAA
ensembl:lncRNA